GAGGAGAGGGAGAGGAAGAAGCACGCUUUAAUCCCCUUGCUUCUCUUAUUUCUCUACCUCCUCUUGGUGCACCAAGCCCCGCACCGGAACCUAAAUUGCUCGGAUUAGGAGAAAAGUUCUACUUGGAUGGAUGAAUUUGCGAUAUCAUAUGUUCAUGCAUGUUGGCAUGUAUGCAGGUGUGUGUGUGUGUGUGUGUGUAUUUAUGAAUCUAUGCACAACUAAUUUUUUUCCCCCUUUUUCCUGAGAGGAAGGAUAUAAGAGUUAUUUAGCCCUUAAUCAAUAUAAGCUGCAAGGAUUAGGCACGCUUGUUUGAUGCAUAAGUAGAUCAAGGAUUGACACAACCACUAUUAUCUUUUAUUAAUGAACUUUUUUAUAUUAUCUUCAUGGAUUUAGAGAUGGACAACAAGAACCCCCGCCGAAGAACGUUUGGUAAUAAUAGUAGUAGAGAGUUUUAGACUCAGAUUAUGGAGAGGAAGGGGUCGCAUUUGUUCAAUAUGGCAUCAAAUUAAACUAUCCAAAUCAGGCUACCUUAGUUCCAAUUUUUCAGUGGAUAAUAAUAUCGCAAAUUUGGGGCAAAAAUUUAGCACGGCAUUGUCCUUUCGACUUUUCUGUUAUCCGAUUGCCAGGACUUAGAAUAGAACGUCGCCUUCAUCAUAGACUGGGCCCGGAGCACUGCGUUGUAUGGCCGCACGUUGAUUGGGAUGAGGCCCAACUUUGGACCCAAGAAUCGGACUCGCAGGUGAAUCGUGGCCGUCGUUUCCAACAACUGCGUGCAGUCUUGGUCAAGUUGUAUGCAGGGUUAAAGCGGACCGCAAGAACUGGUUCAAACCGUCAGCGUUGGCCCACUAAUUGUCUUGGUUCAAUUAUUGGAUGGAUUCUGUCCCGGUGCACAGCUUGGACAUGACACUAUUUUGUGAUUCCAAUGGGCCAUGGCGGCAUUGCGUAUUCUGAUGCACGAUAUGCGAUCGCCAGGCAGCCCUUGAUGAAUCAACAGCACGGUUUGCCAUCGGACUUGUUCGAUUUUGAGAAAAGGAGAGAGAAAACUAGGAUCAAUAAAAAAAAUAAAAACAUACUUUAUAUUUGAUUGGAAUUUUUUUAAAAAUAAUAAAUUUGUAUAUUUUAUGAGAAAAAAAUUACGUUUACAUGCGUCUAAAAAUGAAGAUAAUUUUUUUUAAAAUAUAUUUUUAAGCUUUUAGAUAGAAUAUGGUAAAAUAUUUUUUUAUUUAAAAUAUAACAAAUAUUUUAUAUAACAAUAUAGGUACUCAACCAAAUAGAAGUUUUUUUGAAAUGUACUUUUCUUUAUCAACUAAAUACUUAAAAAUUAGUUUAUUAUAUAUAAAAAAACUUUUAGAGCUAGAAAUAAAGGAUGAACACCAGAAAGAUGGGGACCGCGUUUGAUGUAAAGUAAUAGUAAAUGGCUGUCUCUGAAAAACAAGAACAUGCGAUUCCUAUGAGUUCGCGUGCAACGCUAGGUGAGCCUGAAGAAGUCUGACGUGGAAUUCUUGUUU